UCGAUUUGCCAUUUUAACCAUUAACUGGCCUUGAGCACAUUCACAUCGUGUAUCCGUCUCCACCAUCUGUCCGCAGAAUGGUUUCGUGUUCCCUGACUGAAGCUCUGCCCCCGGGGAACAGCCACUCCCACUCCCUCCUGCUCCCGGUCCUGUAGCCACCUUCUCUGUCGGCCUGUUCCUUCCUUCACUGUUUCCAGCUGGCGUCCAUCAGGCAGCAGGGAAGCCACAGGAUCGUCCGGAUUCCUUUACAGAUACAGGAUUAUCCGGAUUCCUUUACAGAUACAGGAUCCGUUUGCUCGCCAAAAAAGUACUGGAAAAUGGAAGAGGAACCAAAAAUGGAUUGAAAUGAUUGUAAUGCAGAAGGAGGAAGGGAAAGGAGAAAAAGGGAAGGGACAAGGACGGAAGCUAGGUGUCUCUGAAAGCACCUGUUUUGUAAAUCGGACGUCGGAGCCAGACGCAGGACCAGACCUUGGGAACGACUGUAAUUUGCUUAGGGCCGCAUGGCUGAGGCAUCUCGGAACUGUAGUCUGAUGCCGAGUGUGGAAGAUUGAGCAGCAGGCAUGAAUGGAGUGCUGCCGGGGAGGAAAAAGGACUGGUCCGAGGAAGCGUGGAGGACAGUGGCUAGGAGGCGAUCGGGAGGGUCAGCUGGGCCAAACCAGAUGUGGCCUGAGUGUCUUUGGAGAAGGAGGUGUCUGCGGCUGGGGGCAAACCGAUAGUGCAGAAGGAGAAGGGAGGAAGGAUCCCGUAGGGUGGGGAUCCUUUCCCGGCUCGGAGAUGGGCUCCAGAGUCUGGACGGUGCACC